rnacentral:rRNA from 1 species
UACAGAGGUCUCAAGCGUUGUUCGGAAUCAUUGGGCGUAAAGGGUGUGUAGGUGGCGUCGUAAGUCGGGUGUGAAAUUUCGGAGCUUAACUCCGAAACUGCAUUCGAUACUGCGGUGCUUGAGGACUGGAGAGGAGACUGGAAUUCAUGGUGUAGCAGUGAAAUGCGUAGAGAUCAUGAGGAAGACCAGUGGCGAAGGCGGGUCUCUGGACAGAUACUGACACUCAACUACGAAAGCGUGGGGAGCAAACAGG